CCCUAUUUCCUUAAAAGUGGUAAGAGUUCUAUCUCAUUUAGCCCAUUUAGUUCAUCCAUAUGUUGUCCAUUUAGUCCGUCUCGUAAGCUACCUAUUUAUAAUGAUCAAUUGUUUGGAUCGUUGUUCACCAACUUGUCAAUGCGAUUAGCUUGAAUUUGAUUUUAAAAAAUUGAUUUAAAUUGAUUUGUUUUAAAAAAUUAUUUUAAUUUGAUUCAAACCAAAUCAAGUAUGCGAUUGUUUGUAUAGGUGGGCUUGCAUGACCAAAGUCCACCUCUCGGGCGAAUUAUCGUGCGGAGAAAGUCUCUGUGCACCACAUGCGAUGCAGC
rnacentral:lncRNA from 1 species